AUAUGGGGACAAUAUGGGAACCUAUGGGGAUAAUAUGGGGACUAAUGGGGACAGUGGGGAGACCUAUGGGGACAAUAUGGGGACCUGUGGGGGCAAUAAGGGGACGUAUGGGGACAGCACCUCAACCUAUGAGGGUGGCACCGAGCCCUAUGGGGCAACAGUGUGACCUAUGGGGACAAUGGAGCCCUAUGGGGACAAUGGGACCCUAUGGGGACAAUGGAGCCCUAUGGGGACAACAGAACCUUAUGGGGACUCUGGUGAACUCUAUGGGGACAUUGAUGUCCUCUAUGAGGACAGUGGAGCCCUAUGGGGACGUUGAUGAGUCCUAUGGGAUCAAUGAAGCCCUAUGGGGACAAUGGAGCCCUAUGGGGACCUCUGUGGGGGCAAUGGGGCCCUAUGGGGACACUGAUGAGCCCUAUAGGGACAUUGAUGUGCCCUAUGGGGGCAAUGGAGCUCUAUGGGGACAAUGGAACCCUAUGGGGACAUUGAUGAACUCUAUGGGGACACUGGUGUUCUCUAUGGGGACAAUGAUGACCUCUAUGGGGACAAUGGAGCCCUAUGGGGACAGUGGAGCCCUAUGGGGAGCUCUGUGGGGACAAUGGGGCCCUAUGGGGAUGCUGAUGAGCCCUAUAGGGACAUUGAUAAGCCCUAUGGGGAGUUCUAUGGGGACAACGGAGCCCUAUGGGGACAUUGAUGAGCACUGUGGGGUCAAUGAAGACCUAUGGGGACAAUGGGACCCUAUGGGGACUGUGGAGCCCUAUGGGGUAGGGGUGGAGUGUGUGUGUGUGUGGGGGGCUCAAUAAAGUGAAUGGAAACCGA